rnacentral:rRNA from 1 species
UACGAAGGGGGCUAGCGUUGUUCGGAAUUACUGGGCGUAAAGCGUGCGCAGGCGGCCUUCCAAGUCAGGGGUGAAAGCCCAGAGCUCAACUCUGGAAUUGCCUUUGAGACUGUGAGGCUUGAGUACGGGAGAGGUGAGUGGAAUUCCCAGUGUAGAGGUGAAAUUCGUAGAUAUUGGGAAGAACACCGGUGGCGAAGGCGGCUCGCUGGCUCAUUACUGACGCUCAGGCGCGAUAGCGUGGGGAUCAAACAGG